ACGUAGUUCAAUAUGAAGAAAGCGCGGGAACCAGCUGGCCGCCUGUGUACCCGCAGUGUUGUGUGAGACAUCGUGAAGGAUAUUUAGUAAUUAUUACAGAUAAACAGAAAAUAUGGCUGCCCGAGGCAAAGUGCUGACUGAGGAGGAACUUGUGGAGACGAUGAACAAAUCUGGUUUCCUCUCAGUAAAUGAUAGCUCAGAUAUUACCUGUGGCAGUAGUGGGCUGCAACUGACUGAGGCGAGGGGCCAACUACCUAGUAACUAGUGUACCAAAGGAGAAGUCACCAGCUGCAGUACUUUUUUUUUGGAAAUUUUUUUCUAAACACUUUUUCAAAUUUAGUCAAAUUUAGGUUAUUCCUUAUUAAGGUCAAUAUCAAUAUUAAAAUAAAGUACAAUUUAAGUUUAUAAGUUUAUAAUCUAUAGUUUAAGAGUUCCUUUUUCACUGUAAAACUUGUAAUAAACCUUAAUUGAAAACUAC